AUUUCAAUGAAUAAUUUCCCACACUUUUUAUUGAUAGAAAUACUAUGUUAUAUACAAAGUGGUAGAGAAGCUAAUUUAUGAAACAUGUAAAAAGUAAAGCUAAAAUUGUGCUACUGUUACAAUAUACAGCUAUAGAAUUCAAAUUUAGAAUCAGCUCCAAAUAUAGAACAUUAAUGACAGAAUAUUUGAUAUGAUUUUAGGCUAGA
rnacentral:lncRNA from 1 species